rnacentral:rRNA from 1 species
UACGUAGGGCGCAAGCGUUAUCCGGAAUUAUUGGGCGUAAAGAGCUCGUAGGCGGUUUGUCGCGUCUGCUGUGAAAGGCCGGGGCUCAACUCCGGUUCUGCAGUGGGUACGGGCAGACUAGAGUGAUGUAGGGGAGACUGGAAUUCCUGGUGUAGCGGUGAAAUGCGCAGAUAUCAGGAGGAACACCGAUGGCGAAGGCAGGUCUCUGGGCAUUAACUGACGCUGAGGAGCGAAAGCAUGGGGAGCGAACAGG